rnacentral:tRNA from 1 species
GGCCCGUUGGUCAAGUGGUUAAGACACCGCCCUUUCACGGCGGUAAACACGGGUUCGAAUCCCGUACGGGUCC